CCAGACUCCUACGGGAGGCAGCAGUGGGGGAUAUUGCACAAUGGGGGGAACCCUGAUGCAGCGACGCCGCGUGGGUGAAGAAGCGCCUCGGCGCGUAAAGCCCUAUCGGCAGGGAAGAAGCAAGACGGUACCUGACUAAGAAGCCCCGGCUAACUACGUGCCAGCAGCCGCGGUAAUACGUAGGGGGCAAGCGUUAUCCGGAAUCACUGGGUGUAAAGGGAGCGUAGACGGCUGUGCAAGCCUGAAGUGAAAGGCGGGGGCCCAACCCCUGGACUGCUUUGGGAACUGUACGGCUGGAGUGCAGGAGAGGUAAGUGGAAUUCCUAGUGUAGCGGUGAAAUGCGUAGAUAUUAGGAGGAACACCAGUGGCGAAGGCGGCUUACUGGGCUGUAACUGACGUUGAGGCUCGAAAGCGUGGGGAGCAAACAGGAUUAGAUACCCGAGUA
rnacentral:rRNA from 1 species